AUUGAACGCUGGCGGCAUGCCUAACACAUGCAAGUCGAACGAGUGGCGGACGGGUGAGUAAUGUCUGGGAAACUGCCUGCUGGAGGGGGAUAACUACUGGAAACGCUAGCUAAUACCGCAUACCAUCUGAUGUGCCCAGAUGGGAUUAGCUAGUAGGUGGGGUAAAGGCUCACCUAGGCGACGAUCCCUAGCUGGUCUGAGAGGAUGACCGGCAACACGGGAAUGGAGAAACGGUCCAGACUCCGACGGUAGGAAGCAGUGGGGAAUAUUGGCCAAUGGACGCAAGCCUGAUGGAGCCAUGCCGCGUGUAUGAAGAAGGCCUUCGGGUUGUAAAGUACUUUCAGCGGGGAGGCGUUACCCGCAGAAGAAGCACCGGCUAACUCCGUGCCAGCAGCCGCGGUAAUAC
rnacentral:rRNA from 1 species